ensembl:lncRNA
GGGAGGGGGGGGGGAGGGAGGUGCAGAUUUGCACGGCUGGCCUCAGCGGGAGGCGCGGAAAUGCAAGCCGAGCCUGCUGGAGUGAAAGCCCCCGAGGCCUGGCACCCCCGAAAACGACCUCCCACCUUAAUCCCUGCCCCCAUCGCCCACGGCCCCCAAGGGCGACCCCUCUUCUUCCUCUUCCUUCAUUUACCCCACCUCGUUACCUACGUGGCUGACCCAAAUUCAAAGCAUUUUGCGUAUAUAUAAUUUUUUUUCUUUUCUGCUAUGUCUUUUUUUUUUGGGGGGGGGGGUGAGUUGGGGGGAGAAAUCCUCUCUAGAGCCGUAAGCGGAUCGGCCACACGGAGGAAGCAUUUGGGGGCUCAGGAAGAAAUUAGCGCAGCUCCAUCCCUGUACGGACUACAUAACUUUUAAACUACUGGACUCAAAGGAUCCACAUACACACAGGUACAGGAAAUACAGCCAGACCAAAGCCUUUUCAGACCCGAGCUGACCGGAAGACGUUGCCUUUCAUUCAUUCAUUCUGCCCGCGUCUGUGGAGUCCUUUACUAGGCGAGAAGCCCUAGAAGAGAAGUUGGACAUUUUUUAAAGGUCCCUGCGCUCUCCAAGAAGAGGAAAUAGAUGCUCAAGAGUGAGCUACCGAGAGAAUCGGAUCUGGCGCCUCCUAACGCAGCUGGCAAACACGCGAAGGGUCUCCUUCAAAGUCUGAACACACCAAACUACUUUGAAUUCUUUGAAUAAACCUGCUUUCUCUCCUCCAGACCUUUGCCUAUGCCGGUUCCUCUGCUCAGAGCACUGUCUCCUGGCAGCACUCCUCCUCUUGUUUGUAAUAUAAUAGUUCUUAUUUAUUCUCCUGGAAUCAGACUAGAUGGCUUCUCUUCCCUCAUUCACUGAUGUAUCUUAAAGGUAGCACAGUGCCAGCACCUACUCUAAAAUAGUGUUUAAUGGAAGUCCAGCAUCCCUUACAUGCCUCUCCAAGUCCCCAAAUUCUUCAUCUUCCACAAAGCUAGGAAUGAAAGUGCUAAGAUCUUCUCUUUUCCUAGCGAUCCAUAGUAUGCCACUCUUUGCAGAUGGAAUCAGUGGCUUUUUAACUCUCCUUGAAAUGGCAUUCAGUAAUUCACCAGUUCUUCACUGAGUGCCUCCUAGAUUCAUCCAUAGAGUGGACUUUACAGGAAACACUCCUCCUCACCCAGCAACACCUAUUUAUUGCUCCUGUGCCGUGCUCAGUCUUGUCCAACUCACUUGCAACUCCAUGGAUUGUGGCCCUGCCCCGCUCCUCUGUCCAUGGAGUUUUCGAGAGAAUACUGGAGCGGCUUGCCAUUUCCUAUUUCAGGGGAUCUUCCCCACCCAGGGAUUCUGAACCCUCAUCUCUUGUCUUCUUCAUUGGCAAGCACGUUCUUUACCACUAGUGCCACCGGGGAAGUCCUAGUCAUGGCUGAAAGCAGGUCUUUCGUGCCAGUGACAUUAGGAUGGUCUGAAACAAGAUGGACCACUGGUUCUUAGCCUCAGCCUGAAGAGAGAAAUCUCGCCAGUUGCAAACUGACAGCAGAUAAGUUGGCCCAGUUUACCUUAACACAAACCCUUUCUCAUCCAGAACACUUCUCACGAUUAUAAUAUACUGCUCACGUAUUCAUGGUCUAGUCUGUCUCACUGAAAGAAGUCUCUUCUUGAAUGAGAACCUUCUGUAAUAGCACAGGGAACUCUACUCAGUGCUCUGUGGUGACCUAAAUGGGAAGGAAAUCCGAGAGUGUGGAUAUAUGUCUAUGUAUGGGCUUCCCUGGUGCCUCAAUGGUAACGAGUCAGCCUGCCAAUGCAGCAGAUGUGGGUUCGAUCCCUGGGUCGGGAAGAUCCCCCAGAGGAGAAGAUUGCAACCCAUUCCAGUAUUCUUGCCUGGAGAAUCCCAUGGACAGAGGAGCCUGCUGGGCUACAAUAGGGUUGCAAAGAGUAAGACAUGACUAAAGCGAUGGAGCACCGACCCGUAUGUGUGUGUGUAUAACUGAUUCACUUUGCUGUACAGCAGAAACUAACUGUACUCCAAUAAAAAAAUAAAG